GUACACUCCUACGGGAGGCAGCAGUGGGGAAUUUUGGACAAUGGGCGAAAGCCUGAUCCAGCAAUGCCGCGUGAGUGAAGAAGGCCUUCGGGUUGUAAAGCUCUUUUGUCAGGGAAGAAACGGUGAAAGCUAAUAUCUUUUGCUAAUGACGGUACCUGAAGAAUAAGCACCGGCUAACUACGUGCCAGCAGCCGCGGUAAUACGUAGGGUGCAAGCGUUAAUCGGAAUUACUGGGCGUAAAGCGUGCGCAGGCGGUUUUGUAAGUCUGAUGUGAAAUCCCCGGGCUCAACCUGGGAAUUGCAUUGGAGACUGCAAGGCUAGAAUCUGGCAGAGGGGGGUAGAAUUCCACGUGUAGCAGUGAAAUGCGUAGAUAUGUGGAGGAACACCGAUGGCGAAGGCAGCCCCCUGGGUCAAGAUUGACGCUCAUGCACGAAAGCGUGGGGAGCAAACAGGAUUAGAUACCCCAGUAGUCCCAUGA
rnacentral:rRNA from 1 species